rnacentral:rRNA from 1 species
AUUGAACGCUGGCGGCAGGCCUAACACAUGAAAGUCGAACGCAGUGGGGACGGGUGAGUAAAACGUGGGUAACCUCCCAUCAGAGGGGAUAACACUUGGAAACAGGUGCUAAAACGAUACUGAUGGAUGGACCCGCGGUGCAUUAGCUAGUGGGGGAGGUAACGGCUCACCAAGGCCACGAUGCAUCGCCGACCUGAGAGGGGGAUCAGCCACACUGGGACUGAGACACGGCCCAGACGCCUACGGGAGGCAGCAGUAGGGAAUCUUGGGCAAUGGACGAAAGUCUGACCGAGCAACGCCGCGUGAGUGAAGAAGGUUGUCGGAUCGUAAAACUCUGUUGUUAGAGAAGCGGUAUCUAACCAGAAAGCCACGGCUAACUACGUGCCAGCCGCCGCGGUAAUAC